rnacentral:rRNA from 1 species
CAGCAGCCGCGGUAAUACGAAGGGGGCUAGCGUUGUUCGGAAUUACUGGGCGUAAAGCGCACGUAGGCGGAUUGUUAAGUUAGGGGUGAAAUCCCAGGGCUCAACCCUGGAACUGCCUUUAAUACUGGCAAUCUAGAGUCCGAGAGAGGUGAGUGGAAUUCCGAGUGUAGAGGUGAAAUUCGUAGAUAUUCGGAGGAACACCAGUGGCGAAGGCGGCUCACUGGCUCGGUACUGACGCUGAGGUGCGAAAGCGUGGGGAGCAAACAGGAUUAGAUACCCGAGUAGUCCCUGUCUCUUAUAC